rnacentral:rRNA from 1 species
UACGUAGGUGGCAAGCGUUGUCCGGAUUUAUUGGGUUUAAAGGGUGCGUAGGCGGUCUUAUAAGUCAGUGGUGAAAUACGGCAGCUCAACUGUCGAGGUGCCAUUGAUACUGUAGGACUUGAGUACAGACGAGGUAGGCGGAAUUGACGGUGUAGCGGUGAAAUGCUUAGAUAUCGUCAAGAACACCGAUACGAAGGCAGCUUACUAGGCUGUAACUGACGCUGAGGCACGAAAGUGUGGGGAUCAAACAGG